UGGGGUGUGACUCAGUGGUAGAGUUCUUGUCUAACACACGUGAUGCACUGGGUUCAAUCCUCAGUACCACAU
rnacentral:tRNA from 1 species